rnacentral:rRNA from 1 species
AGGAAUAUUGGUCAAUGGGCGCGAGCCUGAACCAGCCAAGUAGCGUGAAGGAUGAAGGUCCUACGGAUUGUAAACUUCUUUUAUAAGGGAAUAAAGUCACCCACGUGUGGGUGUUUGUAUGUACCUUAUGAAUAAGCAUCGGCUAACUCCGUGCCAGCAGCCGCGGUAAUACGGAGGAUGCGAGCGUUAUCCGGAUUUAUUGGGUUUAAAGGGAGCGUAGACGGGUCGUUAAGUCAGCUGUGAAAGUUUGAGGCUCAACCUUAAAAUUGCAGUUGAUACUGGCGUCCUUGAGUACGGUUGAGGCAGGCGGAAUUCGUGGUGUAGCGGUGAAAUGCUUAGAUAUCACGAAGAACCCCGAUUGCGAAGGCAGCCUGCUAAACCGCCACUGACGUUGAGGCUCGAAAGUGUGGGUAUCAAACAGGAUUAGAUACCCUGGUAGUCCACACGGUAAACGAUGGAUACUCGCUGUUGGCGAUAGACUGUCAGCGGCUUAGCGAAAGCGUUAAGUAUCCCACCUGGGGAGUACGCCGGCAACGGUGAAACUCAAAGGAAUUGACGGGGGCCCGCACAAGCGGAGGAACAUGUGGUUUAAUUCGAUGAUACGCGAGGAACCUUACCCGGGCUUGAAUUGCAGACGAAUUGCUUGGAAACAGGCAAGCCGCAAGGCGUCUGUGAAGGUGCUGCAUGGUUGUCGUCAGCUCGUGCCGUGAGGUGUCGGCUUAAGUGCCAUAACGAGCGCAACCCUCGUGUCCAGUUACUAGCAGGUUAUGCUGAGGACUCUGGACAGACUGCCAUCGUAAGAUGUGAGGAAGGUGGGGAUGACGUCAAAUCAGCACGGCCCUUACGUCCGGGGCUACACACGUGUUACAAUGGGGGGUACAGAGGGCCGCUACCACGCGAGUGGAUGCCAAUCCCCAAAACCUCUCUCAGUUCGGACUGGAGUCUGCAACCCGACUCCACGAAGCUGGAUUCGCUAGUAAUCGCGCAUCAGCCACGGCGCGGUGAAUACGUUCCCG